rnacentral:lncRNA from 1 species
ACACAUCUGGCAUUAAUGGAAAUAAAUGAAAGAUUUCAAUCAAUUCAAACAAGGACACUUUGGGAUGGAAUCGGGUAUCGUCAGUAAAGAAACAGACGAUAAUCCAGAAACUGACGAUAAUCCAGAAACUGACUGGAAAAUAUGUUUCUGCCAUCAAAAGCUUCCUGACAGUUCCGUUAUGUGAUGUACUCUGAAUUCUUUGUGGUUAUCCCUCAACUCCACUGCACCAGGGAGCUAAGAGAAGAUUUUUGUUUUAGUAUAUCUGGUAGUGAAAGGCACUCAGGGAUCAAAGGAUGAAAGUGAUAAGAUGCUUCCUUGGACACAGUCUUAGAUGCAGUCACUUCCUCAGAGAAUAUGGAGAAUCCAAAAGCAAAAGAACUUGAAUGAAUCUUUGCAACCAAGACACCCCAGUAACAUCUUUCAG